rnacentral:rRNA from 1 species
CCUACGGGUGGCAGCAGUAGGGAAUCUUCCACAAUGGGCGCAACCCUGAUGGAGCAACACCGCGUGGGUGAAGAAGGUUUUCGGCUCGUAAAGUUCUGUUGUUAGAGAAGAACGUGCGUGAGAGUAACUGUUCACGCCGUGACGGUAUCCAACCAGAAGGUCAGGGCUAACUACGUGCCAGCAGCCUCGGUAAUACGAAGGUGGCAAGCGUUAGCCGGAUUUAGUGGGCGUAAAGCGAGCGUAGGCGGUUGCUUAGGUUUGAUGUGAAAGCUUUCGGCUUAACCUAAGAAGUGCAUCGGAAACCGGGAGACUUGAGUGCAGAAGAGGAAAGUGGAACUCUAUGUGUAGGGGUGGAAUGCGUAGAUAUAUGGAAGAACACGAGUGGCGAAGGCGGCUGUCUGG